AGAGCGAACGCUGGCGGCAGGCCUAACACAUGCAAGUCGAACGGACCCUUCGGGGUUAGUGGCGGACGGGUGAGUAACACGUGGGAACGUGCCUUUAGGGUCGGAAUAGCUCCUGGAAACGGGUGGUAAUGCCGAAUGUGCCCUUCGGGGGAAAGAUUUAUCGCCUUUAGAGCGGCCCGCGUCUGAUUAGCUAGUUGGUGAGGUAAUGGCUCACCAAGGCGACGAUCAGUAGCUGGUCUGAGAGGAUGAUCAGCCACAUUGGGACUGAGACACGGCCCAAACUCCUACGGGAGGCAAGCAGUGGGGAAUCUUGCGCAAUGGGCGAAAGCCUGACGCAGCCAUGCCGCGUGAAUGAUGAAGGUCUUAGGGAUGUAAAAUUCUUUCACCGGGGACCAUAUUA
rnacentral:rRNA from 1 species